GAAAGCAGAUCGCAUGAUCAGUCUUUUUAAAAAGGCGGCGUAAGCUGUCGCUAUGGGGAUCGGCCCCGCGGUGCAUUAGCUAGUUUGGUAAGGGUAAAAGGGCUUACCAAGGCGAUGAUGCAUAGCCGAGUUUGAGAGACUGAUCGGCCACAUUGGGACUGAGACACGGCCCAAACUCCUACGGGAGGCAGCAGUAGGGAAUCUUCCACAAUGGACGCAAGUCUGAUGGAGCAACGCCGCGUGAGUGAAGAAGGUUUUCGGAUCGUAAAGCUCUGUUGUUGGUGAAGAAGGAUAGAGGUAGUAACUGGCCUUUAUUUGACGGUAAUUAACCAGAAAGUCACGGGCUAACUACGUGCCAGCAGCCGCGGUAAAU
rnacentral:rRNA from 1 species